GACGAGGGCUCCCAGAGUCGUAUUCUGGAGAUAUCACAGAGUGCUGCCCCUGUCACCUCUAGAGCUGCCCAUGAGCUGAUAGAGGAUCACAGCCUCCUCUCGUGGGUCCUGCACGGCUUAGAGAAAAGGUUUCUGGAGAACCAGGUGAUAAAUAAAAUGAUUUCCUUACUCCAUCCUCUGUGGCUAAUAAAUUUAAGAGACAAGAGAGAAAACAGGAAUCGAUCCCAGAUGCUGCUGUUGAGAUGGAUAUAUGA